rnacentral:lncRNA from 1 species
AUGGAGUCUCUCCCGGUAGCCCAGGCUGAGGUGCACUGGUGCAAUCUCUGCUCACUGCACCCUUCGUCUCCUGGGUUCAAGCAAUUCUUCUGCCUCAGCUUCCCGAGCAGCUGGGACUACAGGCGCGUGCCACCACACCCAGGCUGCUCACUCUUAGAAUCCAGCCACCAUACUGUGAGGAAGCCCAAUUUAGCCUAUGCAGAGGAACUAGUGAGAGGCCACGUGGAGGUGCUUCAGUUGACAGCCCCAGGGAGCACAGUGCUUGUCCAGACCCACCCAGCUGGGAGGGGACAGAGGAAGAAUUUGAGCCCAGGGUCUUACUCUGCUUGUCCAGGUGGUGCAAUCUUGGUUCACUGCAGCCUCCACCUCCCAGGCUCAGGUGAUCCUCUGAGCUCAGUCUCUUGA